rnacentral:rRNA from 1 species
UGCGUAGGCGGGUUUCUAAGUCAGAGGUGAAAGCCUGGAGCUCAACUCCAGAACUGCCUUUGAUACUGGAAGUCUUGAGUAUGGCAGAGGUGAGUGGAACUGCGAGUGUAGAGGUGAAAUUCGUAGAUAUUCGCAAGAACACCAGUGGCGAAGGCGGCUCACUGGGCCAUUACUGACGCUGAGGCACGAAAGGCGUGGGAGCAAACA